GGCCUGGUUAGUCGCAAAGAAUUUUUCAGUGAUUCUUUGCGAUUGUUUCCAGGCCAGC
rnacentral:pre_miRNA from 1 species